rnacentral:rRNA from 1 species
ACUCUAAGCGGUGGAUCACUCGGCUCAUGGGUCGAUGAAGAACGCAGCAAACUCGUGCGUCAUCGUGUGAACUGCAGGACACAUGAACAUCGACAUUUUGAACGCAUAUCGCAGUCCAUGCUGUUAUGUACUUUAAUUAAUUUUAUAGUGCUGCUUGGACUACAUAUGGUUGAGGGUUGUAAGACUAUGCUAAUUAAGUUGCUUAUAAAUUUUUAUAAGCAUAUGGUAUAUUAUUGGAUAAAUAUAAUAAUUUUUAUUCAUAAUAUUAAAAAAUAAAUGAAAAACAUUAUCUCACAUUUGAAUGUGAAAAACGAAGAGAAAUAUUUUCUUUUUCAAUCAAAUAAUACUGAGAAAUGUCUAGCAUAAAAAAUUGAAAUAUUUUUCAUCUAGAAUUGUCUCUUAUUAAUGAUUCGGAAAUAGAAAAAUCUUGGUUAUGUUAUUAUUCUUCGUUGGUUCGUUAAAAAUGGAUAAAUAAAAACUUUGCAUACAAGAAUUAAUAAAAAUGUUAUAACGAAUUUAAUUAAAUGUUUUAUCAUUAUAUAUAAAGAAUUUAUGGCAAGAUAAAGUUAUAUACAACCUCAACUCAUAUGGGACUACCCCCUGAAUUUAAGCAUAUUAAUUAGGGGAGGAAAAGAAACUAACAAGGAUUUUCUUAGUAGCGGCGAGCGAAAAGAAAACAGUUCAGCACUAAGUCACUUUGUCUAUAUGGCAAAUGUGAGAUGCAGUGUAUGGAGCGUCAAUAUUCUAGUAUGAGAAAUUAACGAUUUAAGUCCUUCUUAAAUGAGGCCAUUUACCCAUAGAGGGUGCCAGGCCCGUAUAACGUUAAUGAUUACUAGAUGAUGUUUCCAAAGAGUCGUGUUGCUUGAUAGUGCAGCACUAAGUGGGUGGUAAACUCCAUCUAAAACUAAAUAUAACCAUGAGACCGAUAGUAAACAAGUACCGUGAGGGAAAGUUGAAAAGAACUCUGAAUAGAGAGUUAAACAGUACGUGAAACUGCUUAGAGGUUAAGCCCGAUGAACCUGAAUAUCCGUUAUGGAAAAUUCAUCAUUAAAAUUGUAAUAUUUAAAUAAUAUUAUGAGAAUAGUGUGCAUUUUUUCCAUAUAAGGACAUUGUAAUCUAUUAGCAUAUACCAAAUUUAUCAUAAAAUAUAACUUAUAGUUUAUUCCAAUUAAAUUGCUUGCAUUUUAACACAGAAUAAAUGUUAUUAAUUUGAUAAAGUGCUGAUAGAUUUAUAUGAUUACAGUGCGUUAAUUUUUCGGAAUUAUAUAAUGGCAUAAUUAUCAUUGAUUUUUGUGUUUAUUAUAUGCACUUGUAUGAUUAACAAUGCGAAAGAUUCAGGAUACCUUCGGGACCCGUCUUGAAACACGGACCAAGGAGUCUAACAUAUGUGCAAGUUAUUGGGAUAUAAACCUAAUAGCGUAAUUAACUUGACUAAUAAUGGGAUUAGUUUUUUAGCUAUUUAUAGCUAAUUAACACAAUCCCGGGGCGUUCUAUAUAGUUAUGUAUAAUGUAUAUUUAUAUUAUUUAUGCCUCUAACUGGAACGUACCUUGAGCAUAUAUGCUGUGACCCGAAAGAUGGUGAACUAUACUUGAUCAGGUUGAAGUCAGGGGAAACCCUGAUGGAAGACCGAAACAGUUCUGACGUGCAAAUCGAUUGUCAGAAUUGAGUAUAGGGGCGAAAGACCAAUCGAACCAUCUAGUAGCUGGUUCCUUCCGAAGUUUCCCUCAGGAUAGCUGGUGCAUUUUAAUAUUAUAUAAAAUAAUCUUAUCUGGUAAAGCGAAUGAUUAGAGGCCUUAGGGUCGAAACGAUCUUAACCUAUUCUCAAACUUUAAAUGGGUAAGAACCUUAACUUUCUUGAUAUGAAGUUCAAGGUUAUGAUAUAAUGUGCCCAGUGGGCCACUUUUGGUAAGCAGAACUGGCGCUGUGGGAUGAACCAAACGUAAUGUUACGGUGCCCAAAUUAACAACUCAUGCAGAUACCAUGAAAGGCGUUGGUUGCUUAAAACAGCAGGACGGUGAUCAUGGAAGUCGAAAUCCGCUAAGGAGUGUGUAACAACUCACCUGCCGAAGCAACUAGCCCUUAAAAUGGAUGGCGCUUAAGUUGUAUACCUAUACAUUACCGCUAAAGUAGAUGAUUUAUAUUACUUGUGAUAUAAAUUUUGAAACUUUAGUGAGUAGGAAGGUACAAUGGUAUGCGUAGAAGUGUUUGGCGUAAGCCUGCAUGGAGCUGCCAUUGGUACAGAUCUUGGUGGUAGUAGCAAAUAAUCGAAUGAGACCUUGGAGGACUGAAGUGGAGAAGGGUUUCGUGUGAACAGUGGUUGAUCACGAGUUAGUCGGUCCUAAGUUCAAGGCGAAAGCCGAAAAUUUUCAAGUAAAACAAAAAUGCCUAACUAUAUAAACAAAGCGAAUUAUAAUACACUUGAAUAAUUUUGAACGAAAGGGAAUACGGUUCCAAUUCCGUAACCUGUUGAGUAUCCGUUUGUUAUUAAAUAUGGGCCUCGUGCUCAUCCUGGCAACAGGAACGACCAUAAAGAAGCCGUCGAGAGAUAUCGGAAGAGUUUUCUUUUCUGUUUUAUAGCCGUACUACCAUGGAAGUCUUUCGCAGAGAGAUAUGGUAGAUGGGCUAGAAGAGCAUGACAUAUACUGUUGUGUCGAUAUUUUCUCCUCGGACCUUGAAAAUUUAUGGUGGGGACACGCAAACUUCUCAACAGGCCGUACCAAUAUCCGCAGCUGGUCUCCAAGGUGAAGAGUCUCUAGUCGAUAGAAUAAUGUAGGUAAGGGAAGUCGGCAAAUUAGAUCCGUAACUUCGGGAUAAGGAUUGGCUCUGAAGAUUGAGAUAGUCGGGCUUGAUUGGGAAACAAUAACAUGGUUUAUGUGCUCGUUCUGGGUAAAUAGAGUUUCUAGCAUUUAUGUUAGUUACUUGUUCCCCGGAUAGUUUAGUUACGUAGCCAAUUGUGGAACUUUCUUGCUAAAAUUUUUAAGAAUACUAUUUGGGUUAAACCAAUUAGUUCUUAUUAAUUAUAACGAUUAUCAAUUAACAAUCAAUUCAGAACUGGCACGGACUUGGGGAAUCCGACUGUCUAAUUAAAACAAAGCAUUGUGAUGGCCCUAGCGGGUGUUGACACAAUGUGAUUUCUGCCCAGUGCUCUGAAUGUCAAAGUGAAGAAAUUCAAGUAAGCGCGGGUCAACGGCGGGAGUAACUAUGACUCUCUUAAGGUAGCCAAAUGCCUCGUCAUCUAAUUAGUGACGCGCAUGAAUGGAUUAACGACGGACGUGUUUUCGUUGC